UGGGGAAUGAUGCACAAUGGGCGCAAGCCUGAUGCAGCCAUGCCGCGUGUGUGAAGAGGCCUUCGGGUUGUAAAGCACUUUCAGCGAGGAGGAAGGUGGUGAGCUUAAUACGCUCAUCAAUUGACGUUACUCGCAGAAGAAGCACCGGCUAACUCCGUGCCAGCAGCCGCGGUAAUACGGAGGGUGCAAGCGUUAAUCGGAAUUACUGGGCGUAAAGCGCACGCAGGCGGUUUGUUAAGUCAGAUGUGAAAUCCCCGGGCUCAACCUGGGAACUGCAUUUGAAACUGGCAAGCUAGAUCUCGUAGAGGGGGGUAGAAUUCCAGGUGUAGCGGUGAAAUGCGUAGAGAUCUGGAGGAAUACCGGUGGCGAAGGCGGCCCCCCUGGA
rnacentral:rRNA from 1 species